rnacentral:lncRNA from 1 species
GUUUUGACCGGUCUUUUGUCAAAUCUUUUGUAUCGGAGACUUUGUAAAACCAAACACUUUAUUAUUGUUUCCCUCCACAGAGAAUACUACAUCACUUUCUGCAGCAACAGCUGCUGGUGGUGGUCAAGGUUUGUUUGUUCAGCUACAGCAGAAGCACCGCUUCACGUCGUUCGUCCCCGCAUAACUGAUGCACAACCCGAAGGUGUAAUACUCCUUGCGGCAGUGCUCAACGCAUGGCCGAUCCUCACAAGGACCAGUAUAUGUCAUGCUGGGUUCCGCACAAUGUAGACCAUCAGACCCUGCAACAACAGAAGGAGAUAAGAACAUCGUAGCAUCAGAUAUAUAAUAUCCCACACAAUGUUUCACAAAGAAAUUGACAAUGAGGUAUGAACUUCAGAUCCAGCCAGCAUCACCAGAUACAUAGUAGAUCGUACAUCGAGAAAGCGCUAUGGUAGCUAAAAAUCAUGGCAAGAGCUUACCUGGGAUGAUCGAAAGGAGUGGCAUGAGCAGCAGCAGCAGGCAUAGGACUGGCACCUUGAUGAAGACACCCAUGUCUCCUGAAACAAAUGGUAUGAGGAAGGAAGCGAGCGGUACAAAUGGAUCAGCGGCACCAUAUUCUUCUUAUACCCAUGGCCAUGGAUGGGUCAGACCUCAGAAGUAAACAAAUACAGCUCUAUGAUAGAUAGGAUGAUGCAAUUCUAUCUGCAUGAUGUGAUGUUGUGGAUACAGCAUAAAAGACGAUGCAUAUCUAUCUUUAGGAUGUAGUGUUGUCAUGUACACUCAAAAGACGCUCCAAACAUCAUAACGACGAUUAAGCAAAAAUAUGUUAUGGCAUCCUAUUUAUUGAGAAAAAGAAAAGUUACCAUAUCUUAAUGCAGAUAUAGCUCUUAGCACUAAAAACAACACAAGUUAUAUAUUUUUCUCUCCCAAAACACAUUAAAUGUGAGCUCUUUUUGAUAAAAUAACAAAGUUGCAAUCAAUAGGAGGAACUAUAUCUAAAUACAUAUUUAAUGCAUCUGAUAUAGCUUAGGAUAGUAAUGCAAUGUGUGACCGAAUGAUAAAUUUAAUUUUACUCGUAGAUACUCUUAAAUUUUGCCGAUGAAAUUCACCAAAGUAAUGAUAUGUCAAUUAAAGCCAUACGGCGGAUUUAUAUUUAUAAUUUUGCAUUAGUUGCUCCAUGUUGGGAACAAUUUCUGCAUGCUAUAUAUACAGGACAACAAAAGAUCUCAACGAAUUAUGAUCAGAUCACUAGUAGAAAACAGGGUACUAGUCCCGGUUCGAGAGGGCCUUUAGUCCCGGUUCUGAAACCGGGACAAAACAAACCGAACUAAUGCCCAAAACCUUUAGUCCCGGUUUGCUUACGAAUCGGGACCAAAGGAGGUCCACGUGGCCGCUCUGGGGCGCCAGGGAGGAGGAACCUUUAGUUACAGUUAGUAACACAAACCGGGACUAAAGGGCAGCCACGCAUCAACAGCUCCCAGGUGCUGGGUUUUUAUUUGGAAGGGGGGUUUAUUAGGGGUUUUGGAUGGUUUAGUUAGGGGUUUCAUAUUGUCUUGGCUAUGGCUACUACAUAUAGAGAGAAGUGACCUCUAUUUCUCCGUGCUUGGUCAACGCUACCUACUACAUAUAGAGAGAACUCGAUGGUCAACGCUACCUACUACAUAUAGAGAGAACUCGACGCUAGUAAGAAAAUGAGGAAGCAUUAUACACAAGAUCGUCAUAAACAUAUACAGAGAGAAGUGACCUCUCUUUCUCCGAGAUUGGUCGAACAACAAGUUCUAGUAUUUCUAUCCGACGCUACUACAUAUCUACAAUAUAACACCUCUUACGAUCCCUGACAUCAUAUACCGAUAAUCAGCUUCAAUUUCCACAUGGUAUUUUCCGUCUUUAUGUAUGACGUUGUCAAGAAAGAAUCACACCAAUUCCUCUUCAUUUGCUCGUAUGCGAUCAUGUGGUAGGAGUUCAUCCCGCAUCUGCCACAUCUAAUUUAAAGAAGGGGGUCAAUACAUAUAUAUAUGAAUGAAACUUAACACAAUUGUUUACGUACUUCAUAUUGUUUGUCAGGGUAGCCCCGCUCAGAGGCCGAGUGGUGGAUGAACUCGCAAACGUAGUAUCCAUAUAAAUCAUUGCCGCCUUCCUGCCACAAGCACUUUACGAGAAAUAGAAUUCAACCAAACUAAUAAUCAAGCAUGAUAAAUGGUAAUGAUGAAACUAGAUUCAAUGAGAGAUGCGUGGAACUAGCUAGUACUAUUAACUUUUGUGUGCGUAAAUCACAGCUUCCUCUGCAGACCCGGAACCAUUUCGGUGACUUUUUCCAAACCCUGCCAAGCAAAGAAAAUGAUUACUUGAUAUGAGGAAAUGAAAGAAAGUUGCCGAUAUGAUGCGAUAAUGAUUGAACUUACUUCUGGAGCAUUGCAGUCAUGUCUACAUACUCCUGGGGCUCUUUACGUCUCGAGUCUAAGGCAGUUACUACUCCCCUGUCAAGCUUAAUUUCUAGCAGAAUAAAGUGGAACUUGCGCACGCAUAACUCAUCAAUUACAUUACUUAACCUCGAGUAAGCGAAACCCAAUAUUUACAAGACAGUAACACUCACUUGAAGUUGUAAGGAAAGAUUAUUUUCCCUUUGUUUUGAUGUCGAAGGAACGAUUUUAGCAAGUUUUCUCAGUAAGUUUGGCUCUCUCUUUUACCAACCAUUCAUUUACGGUAUUUGGGCUAAUGAACCAAAUGUAAUAGAUUUGUCCUUGUUUGCAUUCGAUGAUCUUCAAUCUGCAUACUAUAGUGAGGAUAAUUAUAUAUACAUGCAAUGAAGGAGCUGAGCUAGAGACUUAAUUACAGAAGUAAUACUUACAGACAGUAGCAAGUCAUGAGUUGUUUGUCGAUGGCCUGUUGAUUGAAUAACUGAAAUAUUUCCACAAAUUCAACGGGCAGCAGGUCGACUCCAAUGAGGUCGUGCUCUUCUUUAAUUGCUAGCAACAUACUAUCGGUCCCAGACUUCAUGCAGGUAUCCAUGUACCAUUCAUGCAAUCUUCACAUCAUCAUUGUUAGAGGAGGAUGAUCAGGUUUCACGAGAGGCUUCCUGUGCUCGUAUCUGAAGAUCUCUACUACCUCUAACGGUUUGAACUGUACAUCACCGCCCAGGUAAUCACCAAGAUUGGUACCGGGUAGUCACUAGUAGAAAAAGGGCCUAAUGUUUAGCCCUUUAGUCCCGGUUUGUAAAUGAACUGGCACUAAUGUGACCAUUAGUCCCGGUUCGAACGGCUUUGCAUUAGUGCCGGUUCAUUUCUGACAUAUAUAUAGUCCCGUUCUGUAUCACAAACCAGGACUAAAGGGGUGGUGGCAGGCUGGCGUCAGGCCGCGGCCCCACAAGCCCCUUCAGUCCCGGUUUGUGACACAAACCGGGACUAAAGGGCCAACCUAUAGUCCCAGUUUGUAUCACAAACCGGGACUAAAGGGGUCUAACCUUUAGUCCCGGUUGGAGAAACAAAGCGGGACUAUAGGGCAAUUUUCAAACUCUUCCCCCCCCAUAGCCUUUUCUGUUUUGAAAAGAAACCAAAAGAAAAUGAUAAAAAUUUCGAAAAUUAAAAUCCUUUGAGAUGUAGUUAUGUUACUACAUCUAGUAGUUAGGGAAAUUUAAAAACAUAUCUUUCGAUAUGUUUUGCAAAAAAGUGUUAGGAAAAGGUAAAACGACCAUAUCUUUUGCAUACGAUGUCAAAAAAAAAACGCAUAAUAUAUCAAAAAAAUCUGCAUGAAAGAAAAAAAUAUAUGCUCAAAUUUCAGUUCUAACUAUGGUCAAACUAUGGUCAAACUACUUAUUCAUGAAAUAUUAGUGUUAAUAAAUAACUAUUUUAGUUUUUUUAAUUUUGGUCAAACUAUUGGUAAACUAUGGUCAAAUCAGGUCAAACUGUGGUCAAACUAUGGUCAAACUACUUAUUCAAGAAAUAUUAGUGUUACUAAAUAAUUAUUAUUUUUUAGAAUAAUAGUAUCAAACUCAAACGGUGAAACGUGUGACUUCAUGCUCAAGCUAAACUCCUGAGGGUUAAUAGGAUUGACAGCUUACUACUGUGAGGUAAACAACAAGUGCAGACUUGGAAACAAGGGGUAAUAGAACUCGAAAUUUAAGCGUGCUCAGGCUGGAGUAGUGAGAGGAUGGGUGACCGACCGGGACGUUAGACAAUUUGAAAUGAUGAAGGGUGAUUAGGGACUAAAUCAUCAAAUAAUUCAGAAAUUUGAAAAAAUAAAAAUCAAUCUUUUUUAAAAUAAAAUCCUUUAGUCCCGGUUGGUGUUACCAACUGGUACUAAAGGUCCCCCAGUCCACCGCGUGGGCUCGUCCCACGUGGUGGGCCUUUGGCCCCGGUUCGUGUUGAACCGAGACUAAAGAGGGGGGGUACCUUUAGCCCCCACCUUUAGUGCAGGUUAUAGAACCGACACUAAAGGUCCUUACGAACCGGUACAAAAGGUCGUUUUUCUACUAGUGAGUAGCCCGACAUGAUUACCGAUGAUAUCGCUAGACACCUUGAGCGGGGGCACGAUUGCUUCGCCAGUUCGCCAACCUAGGGAAUUGUUUCCCCAAUUUUUCGCUACUCUUGCAUCACUAGAAGUACUUCCCGACCGCCGCACUUCAUCAUAUGUCUUUUUAAUACAUCGCUCAUAGUUGGAAUCCGGCAGAGGCGGUGGUUAUCGCUUAAGGGCAUGCAGAGUGCGCUUUGCUUUCACCGGAUCUAUUGUUUCCUUUGGAGGUGGAGGUUUCCGUGCAAAAUGGUCCUACACUUUGGCAGCACUGAUGUCCGUGUUUUCCUCUUCGGUCCUCUCAUAUGGUAACUUUUCCGGAGCCUUGAGGCUUGGACCGUAUUUGAAUUUCAUCCCGCCUCUGGUUGUACUGCUAGCCGCAGGAGCGGUGGCGUCUUCUUCCGCCGUUGCUGACGUGGCGGAGUCCGCUGACACGCCGGAGGAGGCAAAGUACUGCCCUGACACUCCGGAGGAGGCGGAGUGCCCUGACGAGGCGGAGGAGGAGGCAGAGUGCCCUGACGCGGCGGCGGAGGAGGAGGAGUGCCCUAAUGCGGUGGAGGAGGAGGCGGAGUGCCCUAACUCACCGGAGGAGGAGGAGGACGCGUCCAGUUUGAAAGCUUGAUGUACUCCUUUCUCCAUAGAUAGGUACUCCUUAAAGCAUUUUCCAGAUGUAUCUUCCCUUCACCUGUAGGCUAGUCAAGCUCCAGCUCCUCAAAUCCCUCCAUUAUUUCAUCCACUAUCACAACAGCAUAGCCAUGUGGAAUCGGACAAGAAUGAAAAGUUCCCUCAGCUUGAAGAGGUACAAUAGAGCUGACCGCCGCCUCCAAGGUCAGGUUUUGGCAUUUGUCAUUAGCUCGCAAUGUUUAGCCUCCGUGAUACUAUCCAUGGGGUAGCGAGGAGCCAUGAAAUCAGGCUAAACGGGCUCUAUGGAAGCCACGCUGCUUCUCCGCUAAGAUGGUUGGGUAGCUUCUGGAGCAGCGUCCAAGCAAGGAUCCUCUAGCUUUGCUAAUCUUGCAGUGAGCCUCUACAUUUCGGUUGCUUCCGCAUUCCUCUUUCUCUCUCGGCUUCUAUAACCACCGAUGUCAGGAAACCUAUGCACCCACGGAACGGAGCCUGGUGUGCCUCGUGUUCGUCCAAGGUGCUAAGGAUUCUCAAGGGCCUCUGUCAUCUCGUCCUUCUCUCUGUCGGGAAUGAACGUCCCUUCCUGCGCUGCCUUGAUUGCUUCCUGAAGCUUCUUGAUGGGUAUUGCAAGUUGCUCAUCUGUCCAAACACACAUCCCUGUUUCUGGGUCCGAAGUUCCCCCAACCCCGAAGAACAAAGUCCUUGAACGAUCUCGCCAGUAGAAUGUCGCUGGUUGGACCCCUUUAGCAUGCAGGUCUUGCUCAGCUUUGUCCCACAAUGGUCGGGCUUCUUAGUAGCCACCUGACUUUGUGUGAUGGUGAUACUUCUACUUUGCAACAUUUUUCUUUUUCUUAGUGACCUUUUCUUACCCUUCUCCGAUUUCUAGUAGGCCACAAAUGUGGGCCAGUGAUCUCUUAUCUUCUCAUGUCGGCCGAUGAAUUCUCGAUUCUUCUGUUUGUCAACAAACUUUGUGUUCAACUCUUUCUUCCAUUUCAUGAAUAGUUCUGCCAUCUUAUUAAGAGAAAACGCCUUGACAUUUCGCUCUAUAAUUGGGUUAUUUGGCUCCUCCUCUAGUGGUAGGCUGAAAUCUGUCAUCAGCGAGGUCCGAACAUCAUCUUUCUGUCUAUCCUGGACAUAAGAAACUUCAGGGUCAUCCUUAUUCUUAUUCCAUUGCUGGAUGCUCAUCGGGACGCUGUCCCUAACAACUCUGCACUGAUGUAGAAAUGCGUCCUUGGUCCGCUUGGGAGCAAUCGGUUAGCCAUUUUGAGUGACUUCUGUGAUCCUGAACCUUUCAUCCUAGCGCAACCUUUUCUUUGGGCCUCUUCUCCUUACCUAAGUUUGGCUCGAUCUGGAAGGCUAAAAGAAUAGGUCACCGGAGCCGUCAUGAUGAUCUCCUUCCUCCGCCAUUCAAUCACCGGAGCCGCAUGAUCUCCUUCCUCCUCCAUUGACGGAUCAGCGGAGCCAUCAUCCUCUCCUUCCUGACCAUUGUUAUCGUUCAGAAACGACAAGAGAUCACCUCCGGUGAGGAUUAUAUCUGCAACAACUGUUCUUGUUCUAAGUCUCUUUCCAUAGUUUCUGAAAAUAUUACAAUAUGGCAAUAUACAAACAUGAAAGUUGGAUUACUGGAAAACAUAGACCUAGCUAACCACAACAAGGAAUCAUAUGCAUAUAUGAGCAAUGGAUUAGUUGCGGACCGCCUCUCUCAUGCAUGUCCGACGUCCCCCCUCAUCGAAGUUAUCGGGGUUAUACUUUCAGGAGAGGACACUUUGCAAAGAAUAAUCGCUAUGCAAGAGACCAAACUAUCCAUGCAUUCUACCCCAUAGACCUAUGCUGCCAACGAUAGAUCGACAACGACGCUCUUUCUUCUAGGGUUUGGGUGGUCUCGAUAGUUGGUCGGGCGAGCAGACCGCCUCUCUCUCAUGCAUGUCCGACGUUCCCCCUCAUGUCAAAGUUAUCGGGGAGGGCGUAGAUCGACAAUGAUGCUCUUCCUUCUAGGGUUUGGGUGGCCUCGAUAGUUGGUCGGGCGAGUGGACCGCCUNNNNNNNNNNNNNNNNNNNNNNNNNNNNNNNNNNNNNNNNNNNNNNNNNNNNNNNNNNNNNNNNNNNNNNNNNNNNNNNNNNNNNNNNNNNNNNNNNNNNNNNNNNNNNNNNNNNNNNNNNNNNNNNNNNNNNNNNNNNNNNNNNNNNNNNNNNNNNNNNNNNNNNNNNNNNNNNNNNNNNNNNNNNNNNNNNNNNNNNNNNNNNNNNNNNNNNNNNNNNNNNNNNNNNNNNNNNNNNNNNNNNNNNNNNNNNNNNNNNNNNNNNNNNNNNNNNNNNNNNNNNNNNNNNNNNNNNNNNNNNNNNNNNNNNNNNNNNNNNNNNNNNNNNNNNNNNNNNNNNNNNNNNNNNNNNNNNNNNNNNNNNNNNNNNNNNNNNNNNNNNNNNNNNNNNNNNNNNNNNNNNNNNNNNNNNNNNNNNNNNNNNNNNNNNNNNNNNNNNNNNNNNNNNNNNNNNNNNNNNNNNNNNNNNNNNNNNNNNNNNUUAUCGGGGAGGAGUAAAUUUUAACUUAGUGAGUCUUUUAGUUAACUCAUUUUGAAUAUAUGAUCAAUUUAACUUAGUAACUUAGUAACUUGUUAAAAUUUAACUAAUUUCCAUGAACAAAAAAAUAUUCUAUGAACAAAAAAACAAUGGAAAUAUUUUCACAUGAGCUAAAGAUUGGUGGGAUCGGCGUCGGGGCAGGGAGCUACGGCCGGCGUUAGGGGCUCGGUGUUGGGGCACGGAGCGGCUGCCACCUUCUGGGGCUCGUUGUCGGGGCAGGGAGCGGCGACUGGCGUCGGGGGCUCGACGUCGUGGCAGGGACAGUGUCGGGGGCGGCGAGGAGGAACUACAGAAAAAAUUUGACCAAGUUUUCAUACAAUCAAAGAACUCUAUAUAUCAUCAUCAUCUAUAAUCACAAUCAAAGAACUCUAUGUAUCGUCAUCAUCAUAUCAUCUACAUAAAAAUUUAAAGAAAAAAUAAUCUAUAUAUCACCAUAAUGAAAAUUAUCUAACAUAAUAUCAUCAUAUCAUCUAUAUAUAUAUAUCAUCAUUUCAUCAAAUUAUCUAACAUAAUGAACUAUAUAUCAUAUCAUAUCAUCAUCAUCAAAGAACUAUAUAUAUAUCAUAUCAUCAUUUCAUCAAAUAACUCAUAUCUUGUAUAUACUCCCUCCGUUCCUUAAUGUGAGGUGUAUUAUUUUUGGUACGGUGACCAAGGCACAUAAUUAUAGAGGUGUUAGGACAAAAUUACCCUUCAAAAAUUUGUUGGUUAGUGGCAAGUAAAUGAGUGAGUCAAGGAAAGUAAGAGAUACAUGCAAUCGAGAGAGAGAUAGUUUUCUUCCUUGAUACAAGAAGAGAUACAAGCAAUCAGGAGAAAUAUACUUUCCUUUUUUCUCGAGGGCUGAAAAGGGAAUUACAAGGAUUUAGAAGAAAUACAUCUUACAUUAUGGAAUUUUAUCGAAAAAACAAAUUCACCUUAUAUAAAGGAACGGAGGGAGUAUAUAUAUAUAUAUAUCAUCAAACAACUAUAUAUAUCAUCAUAUAUAAUGAGCAGAGGAGCGGAGAGCUCACUGGGAGCGGCGAUGAGGAGGCGGGGCACGUCGAUGAGGGCGGCGACGUCGGGGCAAGGGCGAUGGCGAUGGCGACAUUAGGGCAAAGGCGCGCGGCGGCGGCGACUAGGCAGGGGAGCACAGCAACGUAGGCGCAGGGGCACGCGGCGACGGCUACGAGGCAGGGGCACAUGGCGACGACUACGAGGCAGGGGCACGCGGCGACGACUACGAGGCAGGGGCGCACGGCCACGUCGUGGCAGGGGCGCGUGGUGACAGCGACGAGCCAGGGGCGCGUGGUGAUGGCGAUGAGUAGGCAGAGCACGAUGAUGGGAGAGGGAGACGACGUCGGUGCAGGGAGCAGCGGCUGGCGUCGGGGCUGGGACGGAGACGGUGACGGCGACGAGCAGCGGGUAGAGCAGCAGCCUGGCGGCAUCGGGUCGCAGGGCGUCGGCAUCGGGGGGAGAAUGUGAGGAAUUGGGGAAAAUCUAAAUUGUUGGCUUAUAUAGCCCCACCCUUUAGACCGGGCUGAUGGCACCAAUCGGGACCAAUGCACACCUUUUCAUCAGCCCAGAGUGCGGGAAGCAGAGAUCUUUACUCCCGGUUGGUGCCACCAAACGGGACGAAAGGUGGGCAUUGGUCCCGGUAGGUACCACCAACUGGGACGAAAGGUCUGCGGCUGACACGGCGUCGGGCGGGUGGAUGUUUAGUCCCAUCUCGCUAGUUGAGAGGCGUCGAGAGUGGUUUAUAAGUGUGGCUGUUCCAACCCUUUCGAGCUCCUCUCUUAUGCAGGCAUACGGGCCUAAACACACUCACUCUACCUGUGGGCCUAUUGGGCCUGCUACGGGUCUGCAUCCUGGCCCAACUAGCGGGUUGGUUUCUAGUCUUAUGCAGACCGUGGUGGCCCAGUAGGCGCCAUUUUUGUUAAAUUUUUUUCCAGUAUUUUUGUUUUAUUUUUUUCUUUCUUUAUUUUCUUUGUUUCUACUUACAGCUAAAUACUUAAGAGUUUUUGAGUGAUUCUUCUUGCUUUAGGUCACAAAAAUUAUAUAAUUACUGUUAGUGCCAUUAAUUUUCAAUUUGAAUAGUUUAAAUUUGAAUUCUUUCAAAGUUGUGUGAGCCACUACUUUGUGAAUAACUUUACUUUAAAAUAGAUUUUUGAGUGAUUCUUUUUCCUGCUAUUUAAAAUAGAUUCUUUUUCUAACAAAAAAUACUUUACGAAAAUCCUUUUUGCUAUUAAUAUUUUGAAAAAAAUUACUUUUAUAAUUUUAGUUGCAUAAAUUUCAUAUAAUUUUAGUUUCAAAAAUACUAGAGGUUUAUAAAAUCUUUUUGGUUGAUUCUUUUUGCUGUUGAAGUAUAUUAUAGUUCAAUUUUAGUUGAUCAUAACAAAAAAAAUUAAUUGAUUAUUUUUAGUUGCAUAAAUUUUAUUUUUUAUAGAUUCUUUUUAGUCUAUUCCUUUUAUUAUUAGAGUUUAUAAAAGCUUUUUAGUUGAUUAUUUUUGCUAUUGAAGAAUAUUAUAGUUUUCUUUUAGUUGAUCAUAACACAAUAUUUUAAUUGAUUCUUUUUUGUUCAUUCUUUUUUGCUAUUAGGGCUUUAUAAAAGUUUUCUAGUUCAUCCUUUUUGUUAUUAGUUCAUUCUUUGAGCUAAAUUACCCUGAAAUUGAAAAGCACUAGAAAUGAACUCUGGAAAGGUUGAAAGUUGGCAUGGUGUCAUCAUUUAAACCACAUAAGAUGUGUUGAAAUGUUGAGAGGGCUACACCAAAAACUGGAUGCACUUCGUGUACAAAAUGGACAAUCUCUUUCAAAGUAUCAGGGUUUCGGACGGAAAGUCAUCUGUUACAAAGGGAUUUCAUGUUUUGAACUUAAUUGACCUCUGGAAUUUUUGUGUGUUCAAAAUUCACCAUUCAAAUCCACAUCAUUAAUCUUGAACCCUUUCUGACUUCAUUUGGUAUUUUCCAUGCAUUUACUUAAUUUUUUGAGCUAAAUGCCCCUGAAAUUGAAAAGCACUACAAGCAAACUUUGAAAAUUUGAGAGGGUUACGGAAAAAACUAAAUGCACUUUAUGUACAAAAUGGACAAUCUUUUUGGAAGUAUCAGGGUUUCGGACGAAAACGCAUCUGUUACAAAGGGAUUUCAUUUUUUUGAACUUAUUUGAACUCCAGACUUUUUGUGUGUUCAAAAUGCACCAUUCAAAGCCACUUUAUCAACUAUGCACUCUUUGUGACUUUAUUUGGUAUUUUUCAUGCAUUUACUAAUAUUUUUUGACCUAAAUGACCCUAAAAUUGAAAAGCACUACAAAUGAACUCUGAAAAGGUUGAAAGUUGGCAUGGUAUCAUCAUUUCACCCACAUAGCAUGUGCUAAAAACUUGAGAGGGUUACCGCAAAAACUGGAUGCGCUUCGUGUACAAAAUGGACAAUCUCUUUCGAAGUAUCAGGGUUUCGGACGAAAACUCAUCUGUUACAAAGGGAUUUCAUUUUUUUGAACUUAUUUGAACUCCAGGCAUUCUGUGUGUUCAGAAUGCACCAUUCAAAGCCACUUCAUCAAUUUUCAACCCUUUCUGGUUUCAUUUGUUAUUUUUCAUGCAUUUACUGAUUUUUGAGCUAAAUGACCCUGAAAUUGAAAAGCACUACAAAUGAACUCUGAAAAGGUUGAAAGUUUGCAUAUAUCAUCAUUUCACCCACAAAGCAUGUGCUAAAAAGUUAAGGGGGUUACGGCAAAAGCUGGAUGCACUUCAUAUACAAAAUGGACAAUCUCCUUCGAAGUAUCAAUGUUUCGGAUGAAAACUCAUCUAUUACAAAAGGCAUUUCAUUACUUGACAUGUAACUGUAGUGAUAUUCUAGAUCAAAGCCAUCAUCACAAUAGUUGUGCAGACAAAGUUUUCACUUUUUCUUUGCGUGUCUCCCUUACUUAUUGCACCGUAACCAUGGAUAAUCUUCAUGGUUUAACAGGGUGCUUGGGUCAACCUUGACUUUGAAGGGAGGAAUUUCAUGAAACUUUUAAUAAUCUUCAACCAUGUAUGUUUGGGCCUCCACUCCCACGAUGUCUCUUUUCCUUGAAAGAACUAUGUGGCGCUUUGGCUCAUCGUAUAUGUAUUCGCUUCGUUAUAUUUUCUUUUUCUCGGUUUGGUAGACAUGUCCUUCAAAUAGAAAACCUGCGCCACAUCAUUGCUAGGAUGAAUGGUUCGUCUGUGUACCCAAGAUUGUUCAGAUCCACUGUUUUCAUUCCCUACUGCGAGUUUACCCUGUACCAUGCGUCCUCACAGAUUGACCCAUUUGCACCGAAACAAAGGGACCUUAAAAUCAUGUCCAUAGUCAAGUUCAGGUCCACUAUGUAACCAUAAUAUGUGUCCUUUCCCCUAUUGGUUGCUGCAUCAAAGAGGACACCACUAUUUUCGUCAGUGCUCUUUUGAUCUUGGGCGAUCAUGUGAAAUGUAUUCCCAUUUAUCUCGUACCCUUUGUAAGUCAAUACAGUCGAAGAUGGUCCCCUAGCCAACGAGUACAGCUCAUCAACUUGGCCUUUGAAAUCCUUGCCUUACUUUCGACAUUGAUGGUUGGUCGGAAAAAAUCGAUGAUGUCCUAAGUACACAUUCUUCUUGCAUUUGUUCACAUAUACUUUCGGUGUCAUGUAAACAGUACAUGCAUGCAUGGUAUCCCUUGUUUGUUUGUUUGUCCUGAAAGGUUACUGAGAGCAGGCCAAUCAUUGAUGGUAACAAACAAUAACACAUGUAGGUCAAAUUUCUCCUCGUCGUGCUCAUCCCACAAACAUACACCUUUUCCAUUCUACAACUGUAAAACUUCUUCAACUAAUGGCCUUAGGUGCACAUCAAUGUCGUUGCCGGGUUGCGUAGGGCCUUGGAUGAUCACUGGCAUCAUAAUGAACUUUCGCUUGAUGCACAACCAAGGAGGAAGGUUAUAGAUACAUAGAGUCGCGGGCAAGGUGCUAUAAUUGCUGCUCUACUCCCCAAAAGGAUUAAUACCAUCCGCGCUUAAACCAAACCAUACGUUCCUUCCGUCACCUACAAAGUCCCCCACGUUCUAUCAUUUUUCACUCCACUGCGCCCUGUCAGUGGGUGCUCUCAACUUUCCGUCUUUCUUACGGUCCUCUUUGUGCCAUCACAUCCACUUGGCAUGCUCUUUGUUUCUAAAUAGACGUUUCAACCGUGUUAUUAUAGGAGCAUACCACAUCACCUUGGCAGGAACCCUCUUCCUCGGGCGUUCGCCCUCAACAUCACCAGGCUCAUCUUGUCUGAUCUUAUAUCGCAAUGCACCGCAUACCGGGCAUGCGUUCAAAUCGAACUUAAGAAAGACAUGCAUUUCUUACGGUCCUCUUUGUGCCAUUACAUCCACUUGGCAUGCUCUUUGUUUCUAAAUCGAACUUACGGUCCUCUUUUGAACUUAGGAGCAUACCAGUCAUUAGGGCAUGCAUGUAUCUUAUGCACCACCAAUCCUAGAGGGCAUAUAACCUUCUUUGCUUCGUACGUACUGUCAGGCAAUUCCUUAUCCUUUGGAAGCUUCUUCUUCAAUAUUUUCAGUAGCUUCUCAAAUCCAUUGUCAGAUACACCAUUGUUUACCUUCCAUUGCGGCAAGUGGUACCGAGAUUUGUGUUGCCAUCUUUGCAAUUUAGGUACAACCCUUUUUUGUGAUCCUCUAGCAUGCAAUCGAACUUUAACUUCUCCCUUUCACUUUGGUAUUGUCUCUUUGCAUCAACAAUGACCCGGCGAAGAUCAUCAUCGGGCGCAUCACCUUGUUCCUCUUGAUCUUCAGCUCCCCCCAUUGCAGCAUCACCGUAUUCAGGGGCAGAUAGUUAUAAUCACCCUCUUCUUGUUUGUUGUCUUCCAUCAUAACCCCUCUUUCUCUGUGCUUGGUCCAAACAUUAUAGUUUGGCAUGAAACAAAUCCAAGCAAGCGGAUGUGAAGGGUUUUCGACUCAGAGUAAGACUUCGUAUUCCCACAGAUAGGGCAUGGACAACACAUAAAACCAUUCUGUUUUUUUGCCUUAGUCACUUCGAGAAAAUUAUGCAUGCCCUUAAUGUACUCGGAGGUGCGUCUGUCACCGUACAUCCAUUGCCGGUCAUCUGCGUGCAUUAUAUAUAAUUAAGUGUGUCAAAAACCAUUACAGAACAUCACGAAUAGAGAAGUGGCCAAAUUAAUAGAACUUCAUCAUCACAGUAAAACCAAAUUACAGUAGUGAUCAAAUGUUAUUACUGAAAAAUAAAUACAUAAAGUUCAUACAUAGUUCUAUUGAACAACAUAUAAAUCUAUAGAGCAUCUAACUAAAACAUACAUUAAAACUAUGUAAAACAUUUAUAUGCAACAUCAAAUGCGAUCAUAACCACAAGUAAGGUAACAAUCGAUCCAAUGGCAUAAUGAUACCAAGCCUCAGUAUGAAUGGCAUAUUUUCUAAUCUUUCUAAUCUUCAAGCGCAUUGCAUCCAUCUUGAUCGUGUGAUCAUCGACGACAUCCGCAACGUGCAACUCCAAUUUCAUCAUCUCUUCCUUAAUUUUUUUCAAUUUUUUCUUCAAGUAAUUAUUUUCUUUCUCAACUAAAUUUAGCCUCUCGACAAGAGGAUCGGUUGGAAUUUCGGGUUGACAUACCUCCAAGAUAAAAACAUCUAUGUCAAGUUGGUCAGCAUAAUUAUCAUAUACAGUAAAUGUAACAGAUAGUUAUAAAAGAUCAUAUAUACCACAUCCGAAUCAUAGACAUGACGAGGGCCGAUGGGUGCGGAUACCAAAACCAUCGCACUAUAUAAUAACAAACAAUAAUAAAAAUAAGAAAAUUAUACAAGUAUCUAUCUAAAUCAUACAAGUAAGAAUUUUUCUUCUUUCAAAAAGAAGAUAAGAACAAGAGGCUCACCACAGUGAUGCUGGCAACGAGAUUGGCACAGGCGGUCUACCAUAGUGAGGACGGGGACGGGACAUGACGGAUCACCAAACCUAGACAAAUCUUGAGGAAAAUGGAGUUUGACAAGGAGCUUGGGGAGGAGAAAGCUUAAGUGUGGCAAGGGAAUUUCAUCAAACACGUCAUGUGCAUAGGAGGUGAGUUAGAGCAACACACACCUCUCCCACGGCCGACAAAAAAAACAGAGCAGUGAGCGGACAGGGGUAUAUAUAGGCAUCUCUUUAGUCCCGGUUGGUGGCUAGAACCGGGACAGAAGACUGAUAUUUGGUCCCGGUUCCAUCCACCAACCGGGACUAAAGAUGCUGGCCCAUGAGCGAGUCCCAUUGGUCCCUGUUCGUGUCUGGAACGGGACCAAAAGUGUCAAACAAACUGGGACCAAUGGUUCCCGAGGCCCGGCCGGCGCCCUGGCCUCAUGAACUCGAACUGAUGUACCCUUCGGUCCCAGUUCGUGAGUGAACCGGGAUUAAUGCCCUUAUCCUGACCUCAACCAAAGUCCUGUUUUCUACUAGUGGAUUAUCCUCAAAAAAAAUAUCUGAUCAGAUUUGUUGAGUUAUAACGCGAGCAACUUUUGUACAUGCUCAUGUGUAUGAUGUGCCUACUGUUCUACCUACCGGACCUAAUAAUCUUUACUUCUAAAACGGACUUAGUAGCUUCCCGUCCACAAUUAACUUUUGCUUCACCUUCCACCAUUAUUUAUUUCAUCUGGGUUUUUUCGCCUCACCUCCCACAACUCCCUUCCACUAGAUUUUUCUCCCUCCCACUUUAUCUUUGGAAACCAAGUAAUUCAUGUAUGGUAACCAAUCUUUUAUUUGGUAGUACAAACACAAUCAAUACAAAUACAAUCACUAUGCUUAUGGUAAUCAAUAUCUUGUUUGAUAACACAAGAGUAACUUUGGAGAGUAGUCAAUCUCCUUCUUGUUGUCAAUCAAUUUCUUUAUAUUAAGCUUUGUAAUCGACCUCCUUUUCUUCCCGGGGCAGUACAUAGAUCAUUCGUCGAGUAGCUCCUCCCACCAAUCGAAGAGAUCCCACUCAGAUUCUUUUUCCUAUUGACAAAGCGUACCUCUUGUUCCCGGUUUCACUUUGUUUUUUUUAUCUUGUUGUCUCCACAUCAGCCCGCAACGCCCAAACCACAUCCUUGGCCGCAGCCGCAGAGCACAUGACCCUCGCCCUAGCUCCCCACUUUCUUCCUUCUCAACCGGCGAUUUAGGGGUUUGAUGAUUUACCCCAGGAUUGUCUCAAUGGCUAAUGGCCAGGCCCACCCGUCAAUCUCGAGGGGGGUGNNNNNNNNNNNNNNNNNNNNNNNNNNNNNNNNNNNNNNNNNNNNNNNNNNNNNNNNNNNNNNNNNNNNNNNNNNNNNNNNNNNNNNNNNNNNNNNNNNNNNNNNNNNNNNNNNNNNNNNNNNNNNNNNNNNNNNNNNNNNNNNNNNNNNNNNNNNNNNNNNNNNNNNNNNNNNNNNNNNNNNNNNNNNNNNNNNNNNNNNNNNNNNNNNNNNNNNNNNNNNNNNNNNNNNNCAAAGUUAGAAGUAAAGUGUGGGUUAAGAUCAAAUUUUCCAGUUCAACCUGUCACAGCUCGCCCGUUCCCCUUCCAAGCUAGCACCAAUCUUCUUGGCCCCCGCAUUAUCCUAUCCUCCCUCUAUGGCAUCCGCCAUGGCGCGCUCCACAUUGUCGAUAUCCAGGUUUCAAUGAGGCAGCGAUUUCAAGCGUUGGGACUAUAGAUCUAGGCCUUCUGGCGCCGCAAUUAUAUGCUGCCCGUCGGCUCUGGCGGCAACAAAUCACGGUGGCCGUGGCGAGCGUGCGUUCAAUGAAGCAGAUGUAGUCCUAAUCCUUUCCUUCGAAGUCAUCCUCCUAUCCCAUUCGUGGAUCCCUUACAACCUCUACCUCCUCCGCCAUCGAGCUCUGCCGCCCGGUUUCGUAUCUCUCAUUUUUGCUUUGUUGCAUUAUUGAAUUGGUUAUGAAUUUGUACUAUUUGAUCGAUGCAAAUGGACUUGCAUGAAUAUGAGGGUUUUGAAAUAAGGAGUGUGGUUAUCUAGUGGUACUUUUGAGGGGUUGUCAUGUGCUCUCUGAGGUCACGUGCCUUAAAAGGCAGAUCAACAAAACUUUAUGCUAUUUGCCGGUCAAAAAAAAAAAAACUUCGGUCUAAUAUGACUUUGCUAUUUGUUGGUGUGUUUAUAUGUGCUUGCAUUAUUGUUGAUUGUGUGCAUCCUAGCUAUAUAAAGGCUACAUGUGUGCUCAUUUGUUUGUACCCACUUGAUGAUUCAUCUUGAGCUUACAAAAUCCAACCUUUAUCGAAAACAGUAAAUUACCAAUUGUACUGUUAAUUUUGGCAUGUUUGAAUUGUUGAGUUGUGGUUCGUUUUGCUUUGUUGCAGUGUUUCUAUAUGAUCGAUGUGCAUGGAUUUCCACGGAAUUGAGGGUUUUGAUAUGAGGAUUCUGAUUGUCCUGCAGGACUUUUGAGGGGUUGUCUGGCACUGUCCAGCAUUGCACCGCGGAGAAAAUCUUGGUAAGAGAAACAUGGGGUUCAAUUACUUCUGCACAAGAGCAGCCACCUUGAUUGCUUGGACCCUAGAUAAAUACUUGUUAGCUAUAAUCUUGACUUAGCGGUGCGUGGGUGGCGGCCGAGCUGUUAUGCUGCUGCAUGCAUGGUUGUUAGCUGCACAGCCCGGUCUUCUUGAUCGUAGAGAGAUUCCAGUGAGUAGUUAGUGCAUGUGUUAGUGGUCUAAUGUGGUGGCUGGUUAGGCUAGUGCGUGCGUGUGUGGCCGGCCGCGUGUGUACUAGUACUUAAGAGCAUCUCUAGCAGACCCCUUCAACCGCAAAACUAAACACGGCUGAGUAGACCCCUUAAACUUAGACUGUAAAAACGAAUAUUCACGUAUAUUCUUCCCCACUUCUUCUUCUUCCUCUCGCCCGUGUCCACGGCUAGCUAGCUUGCUCCUACGAAGCCGACGGACAAAUAUGAAAUACGAUGCCGCCGGCCUCCCGAACGACUCGCACUAAGCGCCCCAGCGUCAAAACGUCGCCUUCGCUGCUUGAAUCAGUCGAGAAGCUGGCUAGCGUCGGCGUGGAAUGGAUCCACGAGCUAGCUAGCUGGCUGGGUAAUCGAUCGACCCAGGAGCUGGCUAGUUAGCUCCCGUCGGCGUGGCCAAUCGAUCCAGCCCGUGGCCAAGGGAUUACGUAUCCGCCGCAUCUCGCAUCGAUUCAGCUGGAGACGGGCCGCGGGCGCGGCGGCCGGGCGGCGGUGAGCUUCAACUUGUUGGCGCGGGCUGAGAUUUCCUAACUGCCAACGUUGACCGCUAUUCAGUGCCGUGGCAAAAUUGCCUUCGAAACUGAAGAUAUGAGGCUCUCGCGUUUGGGUUCACGGGGCCCGUAAUUUUUUUUUAAGGGUCGGACGAUUUUAAAGGAUCUGUUCGGUCCAUUUUUCCAACUGAAACGGUAAAAAAAAACGGUUAUUUUGCGUGUUCGGCUACUUAUUGUUAGCUUAAUCUUGAUCAUUUGUAUCUGCAUAUUAGUUUUAGCCAUGCAUGUAGCAUAGGUUAGGGAGUCCUUGUCCGGCGACGUCUCCGGCCGAGCAUGCAAGGAAGGCGAGGUGCUAGCUACCGUGUGAUGCCGUCGUGCAAGGUGUGAUGCCGUGGUGCUCUGGGAUGCAGCGCUGCCGUGAGAAGCGGCGAGCAGGCGUGUGACGGAUGGAAUGGCUGGACAAAACAGUAGAGAAAAUGGGUAAGGCGUCCUAGUUUGUUAGGAUGGCUGAGUCGUUAGUCAUGUGGCCGUUGAGGAGUCUACGAAGGUGCUGAACUGGCCGAGUGAUUCGGUCAAGCAGCUAGUGAUUAGCAUCAUGCAUGGGUUAGUUGGUUAGUGGCCGGGUAGGACGGUCAGCCUAGUGGGUGUGUGCGUGAGUUAGUGGCUUGGUGUGGAGUCAUUUGUACAGACUAUUUAAGUUGAUCAGAUGAAUGGAAGAGAAAAGGCCGAGAGGGCUGUGAAGAAAAGAUGUAGCCAGUGCAUUCAUCAAGGAGAGAGCGCCCGGGCAAAGCUAGAGGCUGGUCUUCUCCUUGGUGUAUGCGUGCGUUUGCGUGUAGUGUUUUCACCAUGUGUGUGUGUUCUUGAGAGGAAGUACAAGAGAAAUGAUACAGAUUGAGGGAAGAGAAAGCUGUGCGAGGCAGCCAAGAGGAAGAAGAAGCCGCGCUGCGAGGAGGCGGCGCCAACACUUAUACGGGGUUUGCUAGAGAUGCUCUAAGAGUUGUGCCUGUGUGCCGAGGGGGCAGAGCAAAGAGUAACUAGGAGAAACAUUGUAGUCUCCGGUGGUGUCUCUCCCGUGUGUGUGCUCACCAUGAGGAAUAGAAGCUGGAGUUAGCCUCCACGGCGUGUAGUCUCCCAUGUAAGUGCUACGGCUUGUUGCCGAGCUGGGUAUGCGCCCAGUAAAGAAUUCGCCAUUCGUGCGGCGUAGCACCGUUCGUGCGGCGGAGGCGUUUGCGUGCUGGAAAAAAAAUCUGCGUGCUCUUUAUUCUACCUUCGUCUCAGCGCGCGCGAGAGAGAGAGCUUGUCCGGGGUUUGUCCCAACAAUACUUUUAUUACUUUACCAAUGUGUUUAUAGAAUUACAAAUCGAACGAAUUGUUUGUCAGUACUAGAAAAUUAUUUUGAAGAAAUAUUCUAUAGAUAUCGUUUCUAUAUUUUGGUUGAAAAAUAUUUUAUAUAUGACAUAAUGAGGGUGAUCACGUAUCUACAAGGUUUUAUGUAAUAUUAGACUUUACACCAUAUGAAAUACAGAAUGACAGAGAAGGGAACUAGAUACAGUAGUUCGUAUAUUUUUUUAAUAUUUUUAGAAAAGGGGGAUUACCCCAGCCUCUGCAUCAGAGACAUGCAUACGGCUCAUAUUAUUAAAAACUAAAUCAGUAACAAAGUCUCCAGUAUCUGAAAGUACGAAAAGAAAAACAUAUCGCUCAUAUGAGCCGAAAGAAAAAGCCACAACCGGCAAGGCAAACAAAAUAGGAAGCACUACAUGUCUAUCCUAUUACAUGACCGCCAUCCAAACCGGUUGAAAAUAACCCGAGCUACCAUCUUCCAUCGGGUAGAUGCAGUAGCCAAACGCCCCCUGGACUCCAUGGGAGUGAGUAGCGACCACGCUGUGGCCCUGAAGAUAACCUACAAAAAGUGAAAGUUCGUUGUUCUGUUAAAAACCAAAUCAUUUCUGCAGUCCAGACUGCCCAUAACAGAGCACUAACUCCAACACGAAUGUGCCUCGCUAUAACCGAGUCAACCCCAUCAAGCCACGAUCCAAAUAACAUGUUGAUAGAGGUUGGUGGAGUAAUAUUAAAAGCAAUAUGAAUCGAACGCCAAAGAAUCUUAGCCAGCGGACAAUCUAGAAAGAGGUGCCUUAUAGUUUCGUUAUGAUCACAAAAACUACACUUAGCAGAACCCGUCCAAUUGCGUUUUGCCAGAUUAUCCUUUGUCAAAAUAACUUGUUUAUGCACAAACCACAUAAACACUUUGAUUCGCAAAGGUACCUUAACUUUCCAGACAUGCUCCGAGUACGGAAUGACACUAGUGUUUAUGACAUCCAGAUACAUGGAUUUGACCGAGAACACGCCGUCCUUAGUCAGUUUCCAAUACAAUCUAUCGGACCGCUGAGUCAGCUGGACUUCCAUCAGUCUUUGUACCAGAUGAAGCCAGGCCUCCUAACGAUCGCCUACCAGUGUCCUCCGAAAGCUAAUAUUGAGAGGCGUGGACUGGAAGACUGUUGCAAUGUAUGUUUCUCGACAUUGAACAAUGUUGUACAGAGUAGGAUAUUGAAGUGCGAGGGGCGUCUCCCCAAGCCACGUAUCCUCCCAGAACCUCGUAUUAGCCCCAUCACCGACUAAGAUCUUUGCCCUACUAAAGAAUAGGGGCUUGACUCUCAUCAAUCCUUUCCAAAAUGGUGAGUCAGUCGGGCGCACAGUCACCUGAGCCAAAGUUUUAGACUGAAGAUACUUAUGUCACAGAAUCUGAGCCCAAGUAGCCUCAUUCUCGGCCAAGAGUUUAAAUAGCCACUUACUAAGGAGACAUCUAUUCUUGAUUUCAAGAUUUUCAAUGCCCAGACCGCCUUGGUCCUUCGGCCGACAAAUGAUGUCCCAUUUUGCAAGUCUAUACUUUCGUUUCAACUCUUCAUUCUGCCAAAAGAAGCAAGACGAUAAAAGUCUAACCUCUUUCUGACCCCCACUGGGACCUAAAAAAAGGAUAAAAGAAACAUAGGCGUACUGGUGAGGACCGAAUUAAUCAUAAUUAAUCGCCCUCCAUAUGACAUGAGCUUCCCUUUCCAACAGCUCACUUUCUUUUCAAAACGAUCUUCGAUGCACUUCCAUUCCUUGUUCGUCAGCUUACGAUGAUGAAUGGGUAUACCUAAGUAAGUGAACGGUAACGAACCCAUCUCACAUCCGAACAAUUGCUUAUACGCCUCCUGCUCAUCAUUAGCUCUUUCAAAGCAAAACAAUUCUCUCUUAUGGAAGUUAAUCUUGAGCCCAGACAAUUGUUCAAAUAAGCAUAACACAAUCUUCAUAUUUCUCGCUUUCGCCAAGUCAUGCUCCAUAAAGAUGAUAGUAUCAUCAGCAUACUGCAAUAUGGAUAAACCACCAUCAACUAGGUGCGGAACCAAGCCACUAACCUGCCCCGCAUCCUUAGCCCGACCUAUUAAAAUAGAUAGCAUAUCAACCACUAUGUUGAAUAGAAUCGGUGACAUGGGAUCUCCUUGCCUUAGUCCUUUGUGUGUCUGGAAAUAGUGACCUAUAUCAUCGUUCACUUUAAUCCCUACACUCCCUUUUUGCGUGAAGGAUUGAAUCUGGUCUCGCCAGGCCUUGUCGAAUCCUUUCAUACGCAAAGCUUGUUGAAGAAAAGGCCAUUUAACUUUAUCGUAUCCUUUUUCAAAAUCCACUUUAAAAACCACACCGUCUAGUUUUUGGAGUGGAUUUCAUGGAGCGAUUCAUGCAAGACGACUACCCCUUCAAGGAUAUUUCUAUCUGGCAUAAAAGCAGUCUGGGACGGUUGCACAACUGAAUCCGCAAUCUGCGUGAGUCGGUUCGUCCCAACCUUGGUGAAAAUUUUGAAACAGUAGUUCGUAUUUAUAUAGCUUUAAGAAAAUCGCAUCUCGAGCGGGAACAUUAUCUAACAUAUUUCCAGCUAUAUGUUCGACACCUGCAUUGAGUUGACAUUACUAGCUAAGUUCACAAUUAUCUCACAGGAAAGCAUAGACGAAAGAACUCAACAAUAGAAAAUGAUACAAAUAUGAUCUCAAUGUACAGUUGCAACAUCCAUGCAAAAAAAGAGAAUACAGUUGCAUUACAAAAACAAGGAAACACAAAAGAGUUGAGUGAUGGGUGUUUGGUUUUGCUGGACAACAACAUUUUUUUACCUGAUCCCUAAUGAACUGGUCAGAGAAAGAUUGUCGCCGACGCUUUUUCUAGUAGAAACUAAUCCAUUGAACUGAGGAAACUGAUGGUAUUCCUACAGAGUUGAAAGUUCCGCGGGUACGUACGCACAGCACGUACACACAUGUGUGUUGAUCAUUUGAUCAAUAGGCUUUAGUACUUAAAGUUAAAUCGUUGAGUUUACGGGACGCUAAUGAUGGUGCGUACAUCUAGGAGAUAAGAAUAAGCAAUUUGUGUAUACGCUAACAAACAAAAGUACAGCCCCUCCAAUUAAGAUAUGCAUUCCCAGGCGUUCUAUUUGGUAGGCCGACUUGGAUGAUGAUGCCUGGAAAGGAAACUCCAGGCCGGGAGGCAACCCAAACAGUCAGAUAGGCCUCAAAGAUUAUAACAAGUAUAAUUCCUUGAGAAUAUUACAAUGAAGUGGUUGAAUGUUGAAUUAUUAAUUGAUGCAAUUUAAUAAUACAAUAUAGGAUAAUCCACUACAUUGACACUCAUUCGGGAUGGGUACAUAAGUUGGGCAUGUGGUUUUAGGUCUUCAAGUUGAGUGAUGAAACAUGUGUUAUAGUAUGUUGUAAAGUCUGUAUUUUUAGAUUCAUCAUCGAAUGAUGCGAAACUACUAAUUUUAUGCAAUUUACACAUAUUUCGCUAGUCAAACUGAAUGCCUAAAAACCCGUGCCUGGCUUAUAUUCCCAUGGAGGAUGUUAUAUAUGAUGUACGCGAUGUUUUGCAUAUAUAAUAUAUAGUAUUCUUCAUUGUACUAUAUUCACUAAUGCUUAUCUGGACACAAUCUCCUCCAAUUUUGAGAAAAUACGUGGUAUGUGUUAUUGUUUUCAUUUGCUCCAUUUUUCAUCCCCAGGGGUGAACUUUGCAUGGAGUCUCCAUGAGUACUAUAUUCAACUAAUUAUUUUGUUUUAUAUCCGUAUACUGCGUUCCCCACCAAACGAAGUUUAGGUGAACCCAGGAAGAGUGUGGAAGUAUGGCAGAAACUGAAACACAGAAAAGCGCGCGCGCACACACAGAGAGAGAGAUAUUUAUGCAUGCAAAAAUGCUUCCUAGAACUCGCACGCAAAGCUUAAGCAUAGAUGAAAAUAGGAGAGUGAGAGAUAGAAAGAGUUUGUUAGCAGCCCACGCCAACUCCUGGUCCAUCGGCAUAGGUUCAAACGUUUUCGGUGCACAUUGGAGAGCCCACUACAAGCAGAGUGCCCAAUGUAUCCGGAAACACCAGCAUGAGGAGACCGUGACACUUUCAUGAUGAUCGUCGCAAUGUCCCUUUGGAUGCGAAAGAAGUCAUCUCUAAGUUUAUAAUCCGCUUCUCCAUGAGAUUCUAGCCACUUGUGGAUAUGAUCAUCAUUUCUUCUUCUCAUGCGAAGUUUUUGGUGAUCUGUGUUGAACUGAAUCAUGAGAUGAACGAUGUAGAAUCCAUCCUUUUUGCUUGGUUUUGGGACAUGGAUGCAGGAGAAGUUAGUUUUAUGCGCGAAACCCAUCUUCUUGUUCCUUUGUUUCCUGAUCUGCAUGUGGCCACCUCUAAUGCUGAAGCCAUGGAGAGCAUCAUCUAGAAUAUUCAUUAUGUGGGUGUAGUCUUUUUUCUCGUAGUCUCUGGAAGGGUCAAAAUAGAUGGCGUGGGAGACUUGCGGGUAAAGAACGAUAAGGACGGCGCGCCCGUUGCUGCGGGGAAAAGACACCUCAAAUUAUUCCCCAUAUGAGAGAGAAUGAAUGAUUGAAAUGUAAGAAGGGGUUGUCCGGAACUGACUUACUUUGGAUGAUAAGGCACGAGGACAAUUUUCCGGUCCUUAUUCUGUACCAUAAAGUUUUGGAGGUACUCCCUAGCAGUUUCACGCUCAAAGUCGCCGAGACUCAAGAAAGACUCGUGCAUGUAGUACGGAUCCGCCACACAGAUUUGCGAGACUUCUUCACUCUUCAUGACAGAGCUCAUAUUUAGCGCAAAAAGGAGGACGAUUGUAAAAUCGAGCCGCCUUGUCAGAAACAUCUCGAAGAUAUGGUCAAACCGCAGGAAGAACACAUCCGCGGGCCGUGUCUCGACAUAGCACUUCCCCUCAGGCACAGGAGCCGCGUAUGUCGGAUAUCCUGGAUCCUUUGAGGCUAGUAGGCUUUUCUCAGUCGACAACACAUGGUCGUGCAGUCUCUUGAAAUCCCCUGAUAGUGCCUCCAGCGGUUUCGGCGGUAGCAUCGGCUCGCCCGUGAGAUGGAACAUGGCCGCACCUUUCACGGGUACACGCUCUUCAGAAUGCAUCGUCUGGCUGCUUUGUGCUCUGGAUUGUUUGGAGGCAGUUAUCUUCCCCGAUCUCUUCCUCUCCUUUUUCUUGGGCACACCUUCCAGACCCUUCCUUAACCCCUGGCCCAGGGUUCCCGGGCUAAGAACUGUACGAACCCCGGCUAGUUGCGCCUGUGUUGAGGCGACAUCUUCAGGCGUGUCCUGUGAGGAAUUCAUGAAGAGAGACUUUUUGCAAAUCCUUCCAACGACCUUCCUGCCCGGGCAUAUCAUCCGUAUCCUCAUUAGCAUGCUGAUAGCCCGAUUCGUCAUAUGGUUGACUCAUCAUAUCUAUGUCACAGUCAUGCGCGUUUGUAUUGAGGAAACCCAUAGGGUCGACCUCCGUCUCAUCAUCCAUUGUCUGUUCUACAGGACCGAUUACAUCAGCCAGUACUAUUGCACCCCCUUCAUCACGUCGUCCGCCGCUCUCACCCGGCACUAUAGGAGGUAGUAAUUCGUAGGCGGGGUGAUGGUCUCCGCGCAUGCUUGUUGAUGUGUGGUUAUUGGUGUGCUCUCGGCCGGCUCCAGACGAAUAAGAUUCUUCGGCCAUAGCAGCACCCAACCCUUGCAGCUUCCAAUCUGCGGCGGGGUCUCGUCGUCCUCUCCCAUAUGCUAUACUAGAGGAGGCAAAGCCUUGUGCCCCGAUUUGACACUAGACAAGCUAACCCUAAAGUGUCCAGCGUGGAUCGGCUGGUUGUGGAACGUGGGUUUCAAGGGGUUCAAUAUCAUCCCCUUUCCCAUGUCGACCUUGUGGUCAUUUAUCAAGUAGAGUAUGGUGCAUGGGGUUCCUUCGCCCUGCAAACACAUAUGUCUGUGGCGUAAAACAUCCGAAAGGCAACGAAAAUGGAAUAUUCUAUAUAUAUAUGUAUAUAUGUUGGUGCGACAUGUAAUUACCGUGACGGCGUCGAGCUCAGCCAAAGACGAAGGCCCACCUAGCGCACCAGAGACUGAGGACGGGCUUCUAUGAGCGGGAGCGACCGCGAGAGGAGGCCCGGUUGCAUGAGCAAGUGAUGGUGCGGUGUUGUUGUUGUUCAUGGAGUUGCUCCCGACGAAACUGGGGAUCGGGAAAUCAUGUACCAUCUUGUCUGGAUUUCCUUUCGUCCAGUUAAUGAUAGCUGGAACCAAGUUAGUAGCGAAAUCAUUUCUGCAGGCAGUUACAGCUGCAUUGACUGCCUGCUGUAGCAACUCAUUUUUCUCCUCGGUUGUUUUUUCCGCGUCCUCAGCUGCUUUUUUCUCGAGCACAAGCUUCACCUUCACGUCGAUGUCCGAAUGACUAAACUUCUUUUUCUGCUUCUUGGCCUCCGGGCCCUUGUUGUAAAACACCUUCCACGUGGCGCCGUCUCCAGCGCCGUGCACACGACCAUAUUGCGGCCGCUGGCCCAAAGGGAACCCCUUAAGUUCGUUCAAGGCCCAGUUGAGAGGGGUGUCCCAUUUGGGCCUCAUCGGAGAAGUAGGGCUUUCGACUGCAAGCUGGUGAUGCUUCUCCAGUAGUCUAAUCAAUUUCCUCGUGAUCUGGUCCGUGUAAAAAAACCUUUUUCGCCUUGUCCCACUUGUAGCGGGCCCUGAUGGAGUCACGCUCCAAGGGGUUGGUGAACUUCGUGAAGGGGUCUGGGAGACCCGCGGCUUCACGUUCCGCGUCUUCCUUAUCCCAUAUGGGCCUUUUACCGAGGUAGCCACGGCUUCCGAGGUGAUGCUUCCCCGUGUUCCUUUGCUGAAGGCUCUUGAAUUUCACAGCCUUAGCCUUGGCUGCCUCGGUAGCGCAAGUGUCCUUGAACUUUUCGAACUCCUCUUCUUUAAGUGUCGGGUUUUCCUCUAGAAUCUUGGACAGGGGUUCCUCAGCCUCAAUAGCUCGUUUCACCCUCCCUUUCCAGGAGGCCAAAUCAUUGCUGAACAUGCCCAUGGCGUGAUUGUUAAUCUUUUUCAUCUUCGGAUCAUCCCACGGGUGUUCUAUGUUGUCAUCCCGGUCGGGGAACUUGAAUCUCUUGUGCAACUUCGUUAGGAGCAACUGCGUCAAAUGUUCUUUACUCCUUAACUCAUCGUCAUUGAUGCUCGCGCAUUCCCGUAGGAUGCAUCCUACUUGGUUCCCAUAGCACUUGCGAGGUUCUUCCGGCUCUAAUGGUUCAAACUUGCCAGGUGCCAUCUUUGUGAUCACAAGUCGUCCAAUCCCUAGUUUGUUAGGUUUUCGUAUCCUCUGCUUCUUAUGCUUCCUCUUUUCGGUAGCGGCAUCGGCGCCGGUACCUUCCCCGCCGGUCUCGGCGCCGCCAUCGGUGUCGGCGUCGUCGGUGUCGAUGUCGGCGUCAGUACCAUCAUCGAGGCCGAUCUGCAAAGCUUGCUUAGCAGUCAAAUAGUCGAGGUACACUUGUUCACCCUCAUAAUCCAUCUCAUCUGCAUCUUGGUCAGAAGGCCUAGUUUCUUCGUUGUUCGACAUGUUUCCUAUGAUUAAGUGUCCUCGUUCAUUUCUAAAAGUAUGAAAAAAAUGAGAAAUGACAUAAAAAAGAAAUCUAUGUGCCAGCACUCGAUAUGCCAACUAUCUAGCACAAAUCAUGCCAAAAUUCACGGCAAAUUUCGGCAUGACCUUUGCUAAAAAGUGGACAUAUCGAGCGCAUGAAAUUCACCGGAACGGAAAUGAAUCAAUAUUCCGGCGUAAUAUAUGCCACUCGGAUCAUUUACCAAAAUUGAACCAAAACAUCACAUGUCCAAAUGACAUGUUCAAAUUCCAAAUAUGACAUGUCCAAAACAUGACAUAUCCACAUAUCACAUGUCCAGUUCAAAUUUGCAUAUAAAUUCAGCCUACCUAAAUUUGCUUUAACAAGGGAUGUUGAUUUGGACAAUUGCUUAAAUCCUGCCUUUUCAUUUAACUACAAUUGCUUAACCCUAAAUUUCUGUCCUAUUUUAAAACCUAACUAAAUUCAUAACUAAAUAGAUAACCUAAUUAACAUACUGCCCUAACUAAAACAUAAGUAAAUUAACCGAAGAACCCUAGCUAGCAGAGGGAGGGGAGGGGGGGUUUACAGAGGGUGCAGGGGCGAGGAGNNNNNNNNNNNNNNNNNNNNNNNNNNNNNNNNNNNNNNNNNNNNNNNNNNNNNNNNNNNNNNNNNNNNNNNNNNNNNNNNNNNNNNNNNNNNNNNNNNNNNNNNNNNNNNNNNNNNNNNNNNNNNNNNNNNNNNNNNNNNNNNNNNNNNNNNNNNNNNNNNNNNNNNNNNNNNNNNNNNNNNNNNNNNNNNNNNNNNNNNNNNNNNNNNNNNNNNNNNNNNNNNNNNNNNNNNNNNNNNNNNNNNNNNNNNNNNNNNNNNNNNNNNNNNNNNNNNNNNNNNNNNNNNNNNNNNNNNNNNNNNNNNNNNNNNNNNNNNNNNNNNNNNNNNNNNNNNNNNNNNNNNNNNNNNNNNNNNNNNNNNNNNNNNNNNNNNNNNNNNNNNNNNNNNNNNNNNNNNNNNNNNNNNNNNNNNNNNNNNNNNNNNNNNNNNNNNNNNNNNNNNNNNNNNNNNNNNNNNNNNNNNNNNNNNNNNNNNNNNNNNNNNNNNNNNNNNNNNNNNNNNNNNNNNNNNNNNNNNNNNNNNNNNNNNNNNNNNNNNNNNNNNNNNNNNNNNNNNNNNNNNNNNNNNNNNNNNNNNNNNNNNNNNNNNNNNNNNNNNNNNNNNNNNNNNNNNNNNNNNNNNNNNNNNNNNNNNNNNNNNNNNNNNNNNNNNNNNNNNNNNCUCAGUGUUGACGUUUUCGUUUUUGAGUCAGCUUCUUUCCCUUCUUGUUCGUUGAAGAAUAAUUGAGCCCCUCAUUGUGACUUUGCCUUUUCCAUGGAUUACGAUUUUUCUUAGGUAAUGUAGUAUUGAUUCUUCUUUUGACGUAUACUUCAUCAUCAUUGUCAUCUUCCCUCAUUGGGUUGCCGUACUGAUCAUAGUCUUCCUCGUUGGCGACUCCAUCCAUUCCAAUGAUGUUCCUUUUACCUCUCCUCACGACAACACGGCUGGGAUUGCGUGGGUCAGUUAUGAAGAAGCAUUGUGUCACGUGCUUAGCGUGUACCCAUGGCUUGUUUUUUGCGAUAGCGUUCACGGUAGCGCUCUUGGCAUCGAUUAUAGUCAUGGUAGUGAAAAUCCGGUUUUCUCUUUCGACAUUCUUAGACCAUCUGACACGGAACAUCGUCGUGUUGUGCAGUCCAGAGUAGUCAAGCUCCCAGAUCUCCUUGACCCUUCCAUAAAAUCGUUCAGUUGCGCCGUUGUCGCUGCCGAUCAUGCAUUCCAUCGUGACCCCUGAGUUCUGAUCAUCACUGUCCAUAUCUUUGGCCUCCGUGUAGAACGUGUAUCCGUUGAUAUCAUAUGCCUGAUAGGUUACGAGGUUGGGGGAGGGGCCAUGUGCUAAGGCGUAUAUGAGCAAUCCGUCCUUAGAGCCCUCCUCCGGGGGAUUAGCAAUAAUAUGCUCUUUGAACCAAUGCAGGAAAGUGAAGUUGUGCUCUUUAGUAACUUCGGCGUCCGUCCUGCAUACCCCCCGGUCACGAUACUUCUUUGCGAUAAUUUCUUUGUGCAGUGCCAUGAAAGGAUCUACCUCGUCUAGGUGUUGUAGAACUACCAAGUUUGCUCUGUCAAAGUCGUUGCACCGAUCUGAGUAUGCCACGUGCAGUUCCCUGCGACCGUUGCAGUGACCUUCUCCUUCGAGCCUCCGAUCAUGCUUGUUAAUGGGCAAACCAACACUAACACCAUGCAGCUGGUCUGUGCCAUAUAGAAAAUUCUCAAGAGAUGUACUCUUGUGUCACAUAGCCCUGGACGAUGCUUCCAUCCGGACGGGACAUGUUACAAACGAAUCCUUUGAUGAUCCCAUUCAUCCUCUCAAACGGCAUCAUGUUGUGCAGGAAUGACGGACCCAGGUCUAUUAUCUCAUCCACAAUAUGGACACACAGAUGCACCAUCACGUCAAAAAACGCGGGCGGGAAGUACAUCUCAAGCUCAUUCAGUAUCACAACGAUCUCUUCUUGUAGCCUUCGGAGCUGCUUCACACUGAUCGACUUUCGAGAGAUGACGUCGAAAAUGUUGCAGAGACCAAUAAGCGUGUCAUGGACGUGCUUGUCCAUUAACCCUCUAAGGGCAAUAGGUAGUAUCUGCGUCAUCAUCACAUGACAGUCAUGGGACUUCAUCCCGCUGAACCUUUUCUUGUCCGUGUCUAGAUAUCUGCUUAACUUGCCACAGUAACCGGAACUAACUUUGACUCCAUAAGGCACUUAAAGAAUUGAUCGAUCUCAGCCUGACUUAAGGUGAAGCAAGAAGGGGGGCAAUAAUCCUCUUUCUUUAUUUUCUUGCCCUUCUUCUCCCGUGCCUCUGUCUCCGUCUCUGUCUCAUCUGACAUUUUACGGGGCGGCAUGUGCAGAUCUUCCCUGAUAUUCAAAUCUUGCAAGUCUUUUCUUGCCUUCGGCCCAUCCUUGGUCUUAUUCCGCAUGUUCAUCAAUGUUGCGAGCAAGCUCUCAAGGACAUUCUUGCAGAUAUGCAUUUGAUCAAGGCAAUGAGAUGUAUCGAGUUUGUUCCAGUACUCCAAGUCCCAGAACACAGACCUCGUCUUCCAUACCUUCAGUAGCGGCUCCGGCGCCUUUCUCAUCGUCUUUCACGGCAGGGGGCACUCCUUCCAAAUUGUCAACAGCUCAUCGAUUUUGGCACCGCUCCACUUACAUGGAGGUCCUCGAUGCUCAGCAUGAACAUUGAAUAGAUCUCCACGGUUUCUCCAUGGGUCGUCCUGUUCGAGCCAUCUUCGAUGCCCCAUGUACACGAUUUUCCCAGACCCGCCAUCUUUCCUUGACGUUAGCUGCUGAAACGUCAUAUCAUCCAUGCAUCGCAUGCAUCCGCAAUAUCCAUGGCACACCUGGCCUUCCAUAUAUCCGUAACCGAGAUAGUCCUGCACUGUCGUGAUCAGCGCGGCUCUCAUGUUGAAAUACCCGCCUUUGCUGGCGUCCCAUGUCUUGGCCGAUGUUUUCCAUAACGUGUCUAACUCCUCUUGAAGUAGCCCAAGAUACAAAUUAAUAUUAUUUCCUGGUUGUUUCGGCCCUUGAAUAAGCAUGCUCAUGUGAAUGUACUUCGAUUUCAUGCACAACCAGGGGGGAGGUUGUACAUCCAUACAAACACGGGCCAAGUACCAUACAACUUUAUGGGGACAUUUCUUCCCGGCCUUCUUGUAUCGAGAAGCAUUGCACACUGGACAACUUGUUUUUUUCUGCGUGCUCCUUUCGAUAAAUUAUGCAAUCGUUAAUGCAUGCAUGGUAUCUAAUGUGUGGCAGAUCAAGAGGGCACACGAUCUUCUUGGCCUCAUUAACACAACUAGGACAUAGAUUACCCACGGGAAGAACAUCCUUUAGGUACUUGAGAUGCUCAUCGAGGCUAGUGUUGGUCCAUUUGUUUUUAGCCUUCGUCUUCAGGAGUUGGAGCGAAACUCAAGCGGGUCACCUCAGGAUUGCAACCAUCAUACAAUGGAGUGUUCGAGUCUACCACCAAUUGCUCCAGCUUAGCCUCCUCUCUAGAAGCAGCUCUCUCAGUACUCGUCUCCUUGCGAAGCAAUGCUUGAACAUGAGGGUCCCACAUGAUUGAACUUAGUACCGACGAACUCUGCUGCGUGGAGUCCAUGUCGUUCUCUCCGCCGCCAUGUCCAGCCCCUUCUCCUCCGCCAUGUCCGGCCCCUUCUCCGCUGCCAUGUCCGGCCUCUUUGCCGCCGCCAUUAUCGAUCAUCUCUUCGUCUUGCCCGUGUCAUCAUUGCCUGCCCCAUCGGCAUUGUCAACAUCGUCAUCCUCAUCUUCAAUUAUCCACGGAGUAUAGCUAUCCAUGAAACCAGUCAUGAGCAGGUGCGCUCCGACACGACCAUCGUCAUGGGGGUCGAGCCAAACUAUUCCUUUGCAUUUUCAACACGGACAUAAAACCUCUGUCCGGUUAUUUUCUUUCAUGUCCUGCACCGCCGACCGCAGCCACCUGUCCACCAUCGUUCCACUGACUAUCGUCAAAUCUGCACGGUAAUAAUAAACAAAUUGAUUAUAAAAAUGUGUGCAUGCAUCAAAGUCAUACAAAAAUUCGGCAUGACCAGCCUUAAAAAUAGACAUAUAUAGAUCUAGAGUUUGCCCGGAAUUCGCCGAAACGGAAAUAAAUCGACAUUUCGGCAAAACAUAGGCAACUCAAAAGCACAAUUUGUCGUCAACUCAUGCCACACACACAAUUUCCAUAAACAUAUCACACACACAUAACCAUAUUUCCAUUUUGCAAAAGCAUGAAAUUUUAAUCACCUCUAUCUCGAGAUCGAGCACAUGGUGAUGAGAUGAUGAUGUAGGGAGAUCAAAAGUACACAAAGCUCUUCUUGACAAAGGUAGAUCUAGUUAGGGAGCAAAUAUGUCACUUAACUAAAUGCUACAUCUACCUAGCUACCUCAUCUGGGAGGAGACAACUUCAACUAGUGGAGGGGGGAGGAAAAAGAGAAAGGAGAUGCAUUAAUGGAGAUGGUGUAGUUAGGUAGGAGUAAUGAAGAGAGAGAAAGGUAGGUAGAAGAGGGAGAGUAAUGGGGGAGAAGUGUUGAGGAAGAAGAAGAGUGAGAGUGGGAGGAUGUAGGAGGUAGGGGAAAGGGAAGAUAGGAGGGGGAGGGGAGGGGACGGGUGGGGAUAAGGUGGUGGGUUGGUGCAGAUUUGGAAGCGGCGACCUUAGAAAAGGUGGUGGGCUACUGCUAACCGGGACAAAAAGUGUGUCCAAUUUGAAAGCGGCGACCUUGUAGUAGCGCGGUACGCGGCACCGCGCUGCUGCUUAAUGGAGUUUGAGGGGCACUGUCGGUCGAUAUUUGUAGCAGUGCGGGUAACACCAAGCACGCUACUGCUAAACGCUUAUCAGUAGCUGGUUUUACACACCGGCGCUAUUGCUAAUUAGCAGCAGCGAUCCUUUUUGAGCUGCGCUGCUGCUAAGAUUCUGUGUAUAUGGUUUUCCCUAGUAGUGUAUCCAUCAUUCCAAGCAAAAUGUGAGUGGUAGAAAGAGAAGAACUUAUACCAAUGUACCUUGACCGAUGUUGAUGAUGAAUCAAGUUCACUCAAAUGCGGACAAUGAAAUAGCACUAUUGGUACCAAUCCUUGUCGGUUCUCACACCUACACAAGUAAAAGCUUAUGGUGGAGCUUGGUUAGAAUGGUGGCACAAAAUUUGAUGCAAUUAAAAGUGAGCUUCAAUAAUGUUGGAAAAGAUUCACAAAUUUGCAAAUGCAACAAGUAGACCAAGCAAGUAGGGGUACACGGAAACACACACGCAAAAAGAUAAGUGGGAUUAUGCAAACCAAAAGUGAGCCAGAAUGUGGAAACCACGAAAAUGCUCUUGUUGCACAAUACUAGAGAGACGCUAGCACGAUUGCACAAUAGGCGGAUACGGAAAUUGUGCACAACCUACUAGGCCAAAAUGCAACGAACUCUAUCCCAAGUAUGAUAUAUGUACGGUAUUUCGGUGCUAUGAUCCAAGAUGAUCCAAUAUGACAUCUUAAUGUAGUAUGAUGGUAUGGUUCUUGCUCAUAAGCUCUUUUCUUAUCUUUCCUCUUUGCUUCAAAGCUUGGGUGGCUCUUUCACUUUUGAGCUCUUUUCUCAUGCAAAACUUCACGAACCAAGAUAGCAAUUGUGUAUGCGAUGACAACUUAGUGACACACAAGUUGAUACCAAGAUAUGCACCACUAUGGUAUGGUAUGUAUGCUAUGGAGUAUGAUCACUAAUGUGCAUAAGUCAUGUUACCUGCAAUACUAAAUGGCUAGUCUCGAUGGGUAAGCAAUGCAAAAGAUGAGCUAUGAUGUUUAUCAAUACAAUGGCAAGGUUUGGACAAAGAUGUCGUCGAGAUUACCGUCCUUGCUUACGGUUGAGGGUUCCAAACAGAUGCGAAUCUAGAUGGUGUCGUAGUGCACGGUCUUCAGUAUGUUGGCGAAGAUGCCUCUGCACUAUGGUCGGAGUUGCCGAAGUAGCGGAAGUCGUCGAAGAUGCGCAACCUUUCUGUCUAGACCGAAAGUUUCAGGCAAGACGGAAGCUCCAGGGAUGGCCCGAAGGUCCGGGGGCCGGAAGUACUGGGCGGGGCCAGAAGUUCCGGUGGUGGGGAAUCUGCCAAGAACAGAGACUUCGGGAUCGCGGAUUCGGGCGGNNNNNNNNNNNNNNNNNNNNNNNNNNNNNNNNNNNNNNNNNNNNNNNNNNNNNNNNNNNNNNNNNNNNNNNNNNNNNNNNNNNNNNNNNNNNNNNNNNNNNNNNNNNNNNNNNNNNNNNNNNNNNNNNNNNNNNNNNNNNNNNNNNNNNNNNNNNNNNNNNNNNNNNNNNNNNNNNNNNNNNNNNNNNNNNNNNNNNNNNNNNNNNNNNNNNNNNNNNNNNNNNNNNNNNNNNNNNNNNNNNNNNNNNNNNNNNNNNNNNNNNNNNNNNNNNNNNNNNNNNNNNNNNNNNNNNNNNNNNNNNNNNNNNNNNNNNNNNNNNNNNNNNNNNNNNNNNNNNNNNNNNNNNNNNNNNNNNNNNNNNNAGGGAAGCUAGAUCCACUGGAAGCAAAGCAUAUCCAUGGAUCAAAUCCAACAAAAUUUCAUCACACAAACAAAUCACAAAAAAUAAUUGGGGCUAUUUUUGGUGGGCAAUUUUCGGAAUUAGGAGGAAAACAACAAAAUCAAGCUAGAAAACAAAGGGUAGGGGCUCCAAAAACGUGAUCAACGUGGCUCAUGAUACCAAGAUGAUGUAGGGCAGAACCAUAGGGGCCGAUCUUUCAUGUUUGGAGUGGAUCCUACGGAGAAACAUGAAGAAUGCACGGAAGAACACAAGGGAAAACAUGGGGAGAAACGAGAGAAUCACUCAACCGACAAGUAAUUGAUCACACAAGGGCUAGAUCACCGAAAACAUAAGGUAGCACAAGAUUCAAAAUCAACAAAGGGAAGAUACAAGACUAACCAUUCUUCUUCGUGAGGAGGUCUUGAUUUUCAUCUCCGGAUGGAGGCCUUGAAUCCGAAUGGGUCUUCUCCGAGGAGGCACGGUCCCUCACAUGGAGUAGAUCCGGUACGGAUGAGCUAUGCUCUAUCUCAAGAUGAGCUAUCACAAUGCUAACCCUAAAACGUAGGUAGGAGAAGAGUAUAUAUAGUUUACGGGGCGAAAGUGUACACGGGCCUCGGCCCAAGUGGCUGCGCGCAGGCAGGGCCAGAAGUUCCGGGCUAAGCCGGAAGUUCCGGGCGCCGGAGGUUCCGGGCAAGGUCCGGCCUAAGCCGAGAGUUGGCGCGGGUGGAGCCAGGCUGGCGUCCGGGGGCUGGAAGUUCCAGGGGUCGGAAUGUCCGGGCAGGUUCCGAGCUAACCAGAGAGUUGGCAUGCCCGGGCUGGUCGAUGUCGAAGGAGGCCGGAAGCUCCGGGGUGGCCGGGCGUUCCGGGGGCCAAAAGUUCCGGGCUCUGGCCGGAAGUUCUAGGCUAUCCAGAGAGUUGACCCCUGUCGCUUCUUCUCCAGCUCCUGGCUCCGUGGCUUGAGCGUUGUACCUGAUCAUGCAUAGCAUCUCGGACUUAGGCAGUAGCCAUGUCUCAUUGGAAGAAAAGGGGGACUCAAGUAGGAGUGAUGUCACCUCGGAUUGAAUAGCACGAGCCCUUGCUCUUGUCAUGGGUCCACUUGAAGCUUGGAUAGUCGAUGGAAGGUCCAUGGGGAUGACCGAAGGAUGCUCCGCAUCACAUAUCUAGCCUCGGUGCCGUCAUAAUGGAGAUAUUAACAGGAGCCAAGGGAUAUUCUGAAAAUGGGAAUGUAGGAAUAAUUUAAGUGUUUGAUCCAAGCUAAAUUGUAACUUCCAAAAUAAUUAUGUAAAGUCUUUAUUAGAAAUAUCAUUUCUUAUUUUCUUUUUGAUUUUGCACAUGUACUUAUUUUUGAAAACACCUCUUAAUUAGUAAGGUAGUUGAGUUGUAUUUCAACAAAGAGUAAGAUAGCUGAGUUGUGGGGGCACAAAUCAGACCCAUAAGGAUCAAAUCCUGGUGCUACGUGCACAUGGGGGUGCUUUAUUAACAUAAACAUUCUAAGAUUCACGGAUAUAUCAUCGAUCUCUGCCAGAUGUUAGACGUGUGUUAAAAGGUGUCUUCAUGUGUAUCUAUUCGUCCACUAUGCAAUACAAAAAAAAUACAACUAUUAUAUAUUUCUUGGAGCACAUAGUUGUACCUUCUUAUGUACUCUUGAAGAAAUAGGUACAUAAGCUGGCUCUUGAGUGCCGAAAUAUAGCUAUGGAAGAACGGCCAGAUAUUAUUCAGGUGAGAGAUCGAGUAAUGAUGCUUAGGAGAGAUAGAGGUGACAACUAUCUGUCGGUUCUGGGGCUCAAACCGGUCUGACGCACUCACAUGUAUCGUCGCCGCCAUCUUUCAUUGGUCCAUCUUAAGAACAGAUUGAGGUGACAACCUUGGCAGGUCCUCCGCCAUCGACGCCAUCACGACGUCAAAGGACGACCUCCACCUACGCGAGCCUUGGCAGGUCCUCUGCCAUUGACGCCACCACGACGCCAGCCGACGACCUCCACCUACGCGACUCCAUCUCCAAGCAACGGUCAUAAAUCCAUGCUAGGAAAGAGCCGCACCACCACUCUCGCCCACCACCCACAAGCGCCACCCAACCCCAAGGUUUCCAAAGCGGCGCCUUCAAGAAGGGAACGACGCCCUGAGCGCAGCCGCCGCCCAACAAAGUUAGGGAUUUCGCCCGGGCAACCUAGGAGAAGGUGAAGUGAGGAGAUUAGUCCAUACCGCCCCCUCCAAGGAGGGAAACGGCACCUUCAGGCGUCGCCGUCGGCACGGCCGGUCAUGGCAGGCCAGAGAUUUCACCCGAACUAGAUCUCCGCCACCAGCAGCACCUCCUGUAUAGAACCGGCGACCAAGAGGAAGCGCGACCAGACCAGGUUGGCCCGCACGCCGAACAGGGGAGGAAUGGACGCGCCAGAUCGUGCACACCGACCGCCGCAGAAGCCGCCGCCGGCCGCCAGCGACCACCGGAUCCUGCCGCCCGCGCGGCCGGGACACCGGAUCCACCACCAGCAUGGCUGUUAGCCGGCCGUGCCUUGCCAAUGGAGCCACCGCUCCAGAUCCGGGGUUCCCCACACAAGAGCAGGGCAACCGAGGCCCCGCCGCCACCAUCCUUGGCGCCACCAAGGGAGGAGGGGAGGGGGGGAGGAGGAGGGCGGGUAGGGUUGGGAGGAGGAGGCGGCCCUGAGGAGGGGGGAGGGUGGAGGGGGAGUAGUAACACCUUAUAUUAUGGGACGGAGAGGGUACUAGAUAAUGAUGAUACGUGUCGUGAUUGAUGAUGAUCUUGAAAUGGCUGUACUUCAGGACGGACAAUGCAGAGAUGCUGAAGCCUGCACCUAUGUCAUGUACAUACUGUAGCUAACAUAAGCCCUCUUUCUUUCCCACAGAAAAAAGAAACAUCAGCCAUCUUUCUAUCGAUCAAUGGGCACAUGACGAAGAGGCUUGUUAUAUGUUGGUUAAAUUUGUUGUUUGAAAUAUAUUUCAUACAAUGUUUUGACCGGUCUUUUGUCAAAUCUUUUGUAUCGGAGACUUUGUAAAACCAAACACUUUAUUAUUGUUUCCCUCCACAGAGAAUACUACAUCACUUUCUGCAGCAACAGCUGCUGGUGGUGGUCAAGGUUUGUUUGUUCAGCUACAGCAGGAGCACCGCUUCACGUCGUUCGUCCCCGCAUAACUGAUGCACAACCCGAAGGUGUAAUACUCCUUGCGGCAGUGCUCAACGCAUAGCCGAUCCUCACAAGGACCAGUAUAUGUCAUGCUGGGUUCCGCACAAUGUAGACCAUCAGACCCUG